rnacentral:ncRNA from 1 species
GGUGCCGCCACGGAGGGAGGUGGCGGAGAAUUGGGAAGCCGGUCGAAACCCGGCGCUGCCCCCGCAACGGUAGUGGAGCGUCAAUCGCGGCGAAAAGCCACUGGACCCGAACCCGGUGUCCGGGAAGGUGCCGCGCAAGUCCCCCAAGGGACACGCUCCUGAGCCCGGAAACCAGCCUUGGGCGG